rnacentral:rRNA from 1 species
AUUGAACGCUGGCGGCAGGCCUAACACAUGCAAGUCGAACGAGUGGCGGACGGGUGAGUAAUGUCUGGGAAACUGCCCGAUGGAGGGGGAUAACUACUGGAAACGGUAGCUAAUACCGCAUACCAUCGGAUGUGCCCAGAUGGGAUUAGCUAGUAGGUGGGGUAACGGCUCACCUAGGCGACGAUCCCUAGCUGGUCUGAGAGGAAGACAGGCCAAACGGGAACGGAGACACGGUCCGAACUCCUAGGGGGGGCAGCGGGGGGGAAUAUGGCAAAAUGGGCGAAAGCCUGAUGCAGCCAUGCCGCGUGUAUGAAGAAGGCCUUCGGGUUGUAAAGUACUUUCGGCGAGGAGGCGUUACUCGCAGAAGAAGCAUCGGCUAACUCCGUGCCAGCAGCCGCGGUAAUA